UUUCUGUAUUAUCUGUAUGUUACUAGUUGUAAAUUCUUUGCUUCACAAAUUUGCUGCCUCAUUUCUGGCUCAUCUCUGAUGGUUAAUACCUGUCAAGUCAAGCAAAUAUCACAUAUCCAUGGUUAUAACCAUCUGCUGACAUUGUGGCCUUUUGUGUAAUCACCUUCUCUGUGAUGUCAUUGGUUUAGGUUUAGCAUUAAUGGAAGCCUUAGUUUAUAGCUUUGCCUCUGGUUUAAGAACCCUUUAUCCAUUUUUCUCCUCUAAAUAUAGCCAUGUAUUAAUUAAUAUUUAUUUUAUAUAAUGUUUACAAGGUUGGUUUUAAACUGAUAAACUCCAAAGUCAUGCAAUGUCAGUUUUGAAUAGGAACCAAAAAUUUUGACUAUUCAGUGUACCAUUUUGAAACUGAAAAUCCUCUGAUAUUGUCAGAACCUAAUAAGAGAUAUAGAAAUUAAAAGAAUGGUGUACUAUAGCAUCCAGAAUAAAGGAAACUAAGGGAAUACUAAGAACUCUACUCCCCCCACCCCUUAAUACCAAACCCAAGUAAAAGCAGGAGAGUUGGUAAGUUCUGGGGAUGUAAUACACUUAGAAUUUUAGAGCACAGCCUGGAACAAGAGAUUAAUGGAAACUACCUUUUUUCUUUAAAUUGCCAACAUCCUACCUAUACAAACACAAUUAAGUUAAUUCAUGAACUUAAAAAUUGAAGGGAAAGUUCUUAUGUUAGCCCAAACUAAUAUACUUGUGAGCAUAAUAUAACUCUCUAUACUUUUUAUAGUUUUAAAAUCUACUAAUUUAUCAUCAACAUCUAUAACCUAGCUAUAUAUUUAUGUGUAAUUAUAUAAAAUAUACAUAUGAAUAUGUUUUGUUAAUAAAUUUUAAUAAAAUAAAUACAUAAACAAAUAAUUAUCAUA
rnacentral:lncRNA from 1 species